UUCCCAUUCAGAUCGCCUGUGUAUGUGCGACACACGUCCAGGCUUCCUUGUGUGUUGGUAACUCCUACACACACACCUGGACUUCUCUGGUGGCUUAGAAGUAAAGAAUGUGCCUGCCAAGCAGGAGAUUCCUGGGUCAGGAAGAUCUCCUGGAGAAGGAAAUGGCAACCCACUCCAUUAUUCUUGCCUGGGAAAUCCAUGGACAAAGGAGCCUGGCGGGCUACUGGGCCUGUGGUCGCAAGAGUUGGACAUGACUUAGUUACUGACCAACCAACCAACACACACACACACACACACACACACACACAAACACACACACGACAGCCUUUCCCUAGUGGACACCCUGGGUACCCGCUUACCACCCAGGGCCAGUGUCCAUCAUCACCCAGCCCCUGGCCUUCUUACCUCUGGCAUGUUCUCUGAGGUUCCUGACAGACUACUCAAACAGUCCUACUAAUCACUUUUUAAUUCUCUGCAAAAUAGCAUAUGGUGGGCUGGUUUCCCCACAGACCCGAGCCCUGCUGAGUGCCCUCUCAUCAGCCCCGCCAUUCUCUCUUUACCCCCAGUGUCAUGUUCCCAAUUUCUGGAGCCACCCUUCCUUCCCUUACUUUCUUUCCAUCAUUCAUGGCAGCAGUUGGCUACUUUAAUGGGGGGCUUUCUUUCACCAAAAAACGAUGGUGUCAUCACCUCACGAUGUCACAGCCAAAAUGGUAGCAGGCGGCAGGUCGCAGAGUCACAUGGCGAUUGAUCUGUGCCAGGACAGUUUUACCCAUUCCCCGGGACCUUGAUCCAACCUAAGUCACACCUGUGCCUCAGCAAAGGGGCUAAAGAGCCUGCGCAGCCUCCCCAGGUCUGCAGUGAGGAGAGAAAAUCUCCACUUUUAAUCUAAAACACAGAGUUGGUCUGCUGUUCUCUAGUUCUGGGGACCUGGGUCCCAUCCCAGUCUGCAGAUGGGUUUUGUCAUCCUACUUAGAAUAUGUGUGUGAUUUAACGAAAUUGAGCACAACUCAGAAAAAAAAUCAAGUAAUUGAACAGAAAAUCCAGAUUUCUGACCUCUUAAAAAUUAGGGAGGUGUGGUAAGACCAAGCCCACAUUCCUUGCUGGUGAUGCUGGCAGAGGCUGAGUAGUGACCGCCCCUUGAGAAGGGGCCCCUGUUCUGUGAUCCACCCCUCCCAAGACACAGGGGGCCUCUCACUGCCAGCCUCCCUCCCGGGCGUUAACUGUCUGAGUUGGGGUCAAGGCAUCUGCAUUUGUCUCUCUGGACUAUCCCCAGGACAUACAUCAGUGGGUAAACACACACACACGCACACACAUGCACAAUCAAACCAAGGGAGGCUUCACAAAGGGCGUCUGCUGGUUCUGGAAUUGACUUUGAAAUAUCUCACGUUUAGCCACUGAUGUCCAAAGAGCUCACAGGCAUCAAGAAUCUCUCCCCAGACACCAGAGAUGCCCUGAGCGUCUCUGGUUAGACAGUGAAUUCCUAGAGGACCAGUUCCUUGGGUCCUCCUGUUAAUGAGCUGCAUUAUAUGAUUAUACAACCCUGGCUGCAUGUUAGAAUCCUUUGAGGAAUACUGUGAAAAGUCACAGGACCCAGGUUCUUCCCCAGACCAAUUAAAUCAGGACCUCUGGGGGUGGCAUCCUAGCUUUGGUAAUUUUUAAAGCUCUCCAGGUGAGUCCAGGGUGCAGACAGGGCUGAGCCCACCUGGAUGAGGUGCUUGAGUCCAUCAUUUCAGUGAAGACGGGGUGAUGUUAGUGAGCAUGUACAGUCUUCCCUUGGUAUCCAUGAGGAAUUUGUUCCAGGAUUCCCCAGAGAUACCAAAUGCCUCAGAUGCUCAAGUUCCUUAUGGUAUAAGAUGGCGCAGUGAGGUUAGCCCUCCUAUUUGCAGUUCCACAUGAGUAGAUUCAACCAACUGCAGAAGGAUCUGGUUAGUUGGCUUGCAGGCUAAAGAACUCCUGAAUACAAAGGGCCAACUGUGUGUUACAGAAGAGAAAAGAGCCGACCCAGCCCACCCAGCAUUCUCCUAGAGGGGAAUAUUUUGAAUGGCGCUUGUCACCAGUGUGCUUAAGUCCAAAGCCAGGGAGUCCUCCUCCUUUUCUCUUCCUUUAGUGAUGCUGACCUGGUUGUUCUCAAGAGCCAGGGAGGAAGGACCAGCCUGCUCUGCCCUGAUGCUGCACAGUUCAUGACGGAUUGAUUCCAGCCCUACUUACCCUCCCUGUUCUGUGGGGCCCAAGCCCUGAACUGGAAACAACCCAAAUGUCCAUCAACAGGAAAAGAGAUAAAUAUGUGGAGGCAAUAUUCAUACAGUGAAAAAAUACAUAAUGAUUGUUUUGAAGAGGAAUGGACCACUACUAUACAUAGCAUGGAUGAAUCUCAUAACAAUGUUGACUAAAAGGCACAAAAGAAUACAUAAUUCCACCUAGGUGAGUUCAAGAGCAGGCAAAAGUGAGCUCUGAUUUUAGAAGUCAGAAGAGUUUUACUUCGGAGGGGGCUUUGUUAUUGAU
ensembl:lncRNA